GUCUUAUCCCCCUUCCCCCUCGCUUCCUAUCAGUACUUGCGCCUCUGCUUCAGUCCAGUGUGUCUUCUCCUCUCCCUGCCGAUAGUUGGGGUUAAUGGAUGUUCUUGCUAGAUCUGCUCCCUCUGCUUAUUCUUAUCCCUGUGGUUGUUCUUAUGCUUUUUUAAGGUGCUUUUUUGUGCCUUUUUCUAUUCGCAGGAUUUGGGAAUCAGGGGAUUCUUGGCAGAGGGAUUAGUUCUGCUGCAUCUAUCCCCUUCUUCAGCCAAUGAAGUCCCUGAAGUUUUCGAUGCCGUCCUUGAUGAAUAUUGCUUUAGGAGGAUGAUCUGCUGCUGUUGGUUUGGUGGAUCGAAGGAGAAGGUAGUUGCCAGCAAGAAUCGUCUGGGCAAGUUGUUCAGAAACAUCAGAAGGCAAGGGGAGAUCUGAGCUUUCUUUCUUCUCCCAUGGUGGCGGCUGUGUGGGUGUCGAGCAAGAAAGAAGAGGAGGCAAGGGAGAAGACCUAGUGAGCUGUACAAUGACUGGAUCUUUAGCUUAGCGGGUUCAGGCCCGUUUUCUCUCUGGGCUAAAGAAAGAGCAUAAGAAAGAAACAUAAUGUUCUGAGGCUUUCUUUCUGUUGGGCUGACUGACUGACAAUAGUUUUGGGUCAGUCAGUUUUCUUUCUGGGUUGCAAUCUUUUCCCUUUGUUAACAUUCGACUGACCACUUUUUGAGUCAGUCGAUUG